AAGCCUGACGGAGCAACGCCGCGUGAGUGAUGAAGGUCUUCGGAUCGUAAAACUCUGUUAUUAGGGAAGAACAUAUGUGUAAGUAACUGUGCACAUCUUGACGGUACCUAAUCAGAAAGCCACGGCUAACUACGUGCCAGCAGCCGCGGUAAUACGUAGGUGGCAAGCGUUAUCCGGAAUUAUUGGGCGUAAAGCGCGCGUAGGCGGUUUUUUAAGUCUGAUGUGAAAGCCCACGGCUCAACCGUGGAGGGUCAUUGGAAACUGGAAAACUUGAGUGCAGAAGAGGAAAGUGGAAUACCAUGUGUAGCGGUGAAAUGCGCAGAGAUAUGGAGGAACACCAGUGGCGAAGGCGACUUUCUGGUCUGUAACU
rnacentral:rRNA from 1 species